rnacentral:sRNA from 1 species
GCCAGGCAUAGUGGCCCAUGCCUGUAAUCCCAUUGACUCAGGAGGCUGAGGCAGGAGGAUUGUAAAUUCAAGGCCAGCCUGGGCAACCUAGUGAGACCUUAUCUCAA